UACGGGGGGGGGCAAGCGUUGUUCGGAAUUACUGGGCGUAAAGGGCUCGUAGGUGGCCAACUAAGUCAGACGUGAAAUCCCUCGGCUUAACCGGGGAACUGCGUCUGAUACUGGAUGGCUUGAGAUUGGGAGAGGGAUGCGGAAUUCCAGGUGUAGCGGUGAAAUGCGUAGAUAUCUGGAGGAACACCGGUGGCGAAGGCGGCAUCCUGGACCAACACUGACGCUGAGGAGCGAAAGCCAGGGGGAGCAAAACGGGG
rnacentral:rRNA from 1 species